AUUGAACGCUGGCGGCAGGCCUAACACAUGCAAGUCGAACGAGUGGCGGACGGGUGAGUAAUGUCUGGGAAACUGCCCGAUGGAGGGGGAUAACUACGGGAAACGGUAGCUAAUACCGCGUAACAUAGGAUGAGCCCAGUUGGGAUUUGAUAGUUGGUGGGGUAAAGGCUCACCAAGGUGACGAUCUCUAGCUGGUCUGAGAGGAUGACCAGCCACACUGUAACUGAGACACGGUCCAGACUCCUACGGUAUGCAGCAGGGGGGAAUAUUGCACAAUGGGCGCAAGCCGGAUGCAGCCAUGCCGCGUGUAUGAAGAAGGCCUUCGGGUUGUAAAGUUCUUUCAGCGCGGAGGCGUUACUCGCAGAAGAAGCACCGGCUAACUCCGUGCCAGCAGCCGCGGUAAUAC
rnacentral:rRNA from 1 species